CCUAACCUAAGACAUAAGCAGCCGACACCUUGUCUCUCUCUCUAAAACCUAACUCCUCUUCAUCAACUUCUCAUGUCUCAAAAACAUAAUCCUCUCUCCUCUCAUUCGAUCCACCCACACAAACAAACAAACACAGGGGAUCCUUCUUCUCUAAACCCAUGUGAUCUCUCCCUCUCUCUCGGUUAUUAUACACAAAGACAGGGAAGUAUUUUUCCCCAAAGCUCACUUGAAGAACUAUAAUCUCCUCACCAGAUUCUACAACAACCUGCACCAUCUCUCCCACUCGAUCUGUUUGGUCAAGAUGACCGGAGCCCCACCGGCCUCCCUCUUGCUUCACAGACGACAGCAACACCCACCACUCUCCGGUGGUGGCGAGCAGCGGGCGACAACAAAAUCAGAAGAGCCGACGAGAGAGAGAAAGGUGCCGGAAAGAAGAAUGACGGCGACUGUGGUGCCGUCGUCCAUAGCGGCGAAGCCGGUGUCGAGCAUCGGCAAGGUGAGACGGUGGCGAGAGAACCAGAGAAUGAGAGAGAAGUCUCCGAUGACGGCGACACUUCAGGCGACGGGUCUGUAAAUUCUCUUGACGAGUCACCGAUGGAAGGAUGACUUGAGUUGCAGUGUUGCUUCGACGCGAAAUAUUUGGUAAAAAUUUUAGUGACGCGAAGGAUUAUUUACGUUAAUUAUAAAGUUUUCAUUUAUUUCGUGAAACGAGUUCGAACCGAUUCAGAUUAGUGUUUAGUUUUUAUUUUGUCGUUUUUACAAAAAUUAUAUAUUGGUAAUUGAA